UGUCUCAGUAGCUCAGCUGGAUAGAGCAACGCCCUUCUAAGGCGUCGGUCGGGGGUUCGAAUCCCUCCUGGGACAUC
rnacentral:tRNA from 2 species